GAUUUUCAGAGAUAAAGUUGUGAUCACUCUAAUUAAUGCUGAUAUUGCUUUGGUGAGGGGGGACUCACUGUCAUGGCACAUACGUGGUUCACCAAAGGAGCUGUUUUGUGGAAAGAGAUCAAAGUAGUCUAUGAGCCAAAAUACCAACCAGAAAGGAAUAUCCAAUGGAACUUUGAGCCAGCGGAGAGCCGGAGGUUACAAGACACAGGAACAGCAGCGGGGCAGGAACAAGUAUUGAAUGCAGAAUGGCAAGGAUUACUUAAACACCUUGAGGCAUGGCAACAAGAGUUACUCUACCUGGCAGUGUGAAUGAGGGAGGGCUGAUAUGUGAAGAUGUAUGAGAGUAGCCACGAGAGACAGUAACAGGGAGCAGAUAGGCGAUCAUGAUUUAUAUGAUGCCAAAGCUCUUCAGAUAUUAAGGCAGCAUCAUGUAAAGGGUUGUAGUGCAUAAACUCUGAUGUGAAAUUUCAGCAGUGGCACUUCAUUUUAAAUACACUUUUUUUAAAACACCACUGUACCUUGACAGAAGGGAAAAUUUUAAUUUUCACAGGUACAAAAAAAGAUAGGACAGCUGGUGAUCGGCUUAUAGGAAAAAUACACCCUUAAUAUGGCCAUCAAGCUUGUAACCACUCAGAAAUGAAGCAUCUUUUGCCUAAACGUCUGAGAACUUGCAGCAUGACACUAUGUUCUUAUCAUUUUAUUCUAAAAAGUUUCUGUCCUAACCAUCUGGACUUGUCAUAAUCUUAGGAUACACCCUUUUUUCCUCUCGUGGCUUUUAUCUCUUUGAUUUAAACAGGAAACCAGCAAAUGAGGUUAGCAAAGCCUCAUACCCAUGCACACACAGUUAAGACACCAGGCCUACCAGAUUAGGCUGUGUGUUCAGGGUAACAAUGAGACAUGUGGACAUGUAAACAGUAUUGGAGGAGGGUUAUAUAAUAUAACAGGCAGGUUGUGAGUCUAGAGUCUAUUUGGGGAAAAAAAGAAACACAAGUAUUAUUUUCUGAAGUAGCUUUACUUUGGGUCACAUGAAGGAAAUCCAGAUACACUCGUGGGAUGGAAAUUUGAACAUGAAUCUGCAGCUUAACCACAGAUUUUACAGAGCUCUUCAGUAAACUUUGACAAAAGCGCCACUUCCCACUCUGUUGAUACCUUCAAUCCAGAAAUCCCACAUAAUGAAUCAGCUGAAAAUUGAAUAUGAAUUUAUGUAUGAGGUGGACACUGUCAUCUUUGAAUUCAAAUGUUUUCAUUACUACCCUGAACAUAAAAAAAGGAAAGUCACUUCUUUAUCAUGAGCUUCACUGACACUCCUCUCCUCUGCUGGAUUCGUCCACCUCUGAAAUCAUCACAAUAAAGCCAAAGAACUGUUGUUUUAGUGGAAUAUGUCAUUUCCCUCCAUUUAAAAAAGAUCCAAUCAAGAGUUAUACGUCUUAGUCCAUGUUACUUAAAGUGUUCCCUAGAUAUUGGGACCUCAAGCUUUACUUACAGCCAGCAGGCUGCUCGCUGGCAGUAAAGCCAUCAGUCAUGUCUCACACAUUUAGGGUGGAGGCAUAAAAAGUUUGGCAGUGAAAAUAAAGUCAAUUCAUAAAACUAUUAUCAUCAACUAAUGAUCUAGAAUAAAAUAAAUUAAUGAAAUUAUAUAAAGUGGUCCAAUAAGACCUGUUGGUCUUGCUUGUUUAAGAGUUUCACGGGACCUCAGUCGGCCACAGUAAGCGCUGUAACAAAGGUAAACCUCGCACUGGGCUGGUAAGAUAAAAACUAUUGGGGAGCUAGUGUUUGGUGAGGUUAUUGUCAGCUGAUCAAGUUGUUUUGAAGCCUUGAAUCUUGAAAGUUAUGGAGCACUUCCAUGAAUGCUGUAAAGCCUUGGGCAGUGCUUUCUACGAAAUCUUUUCAUCCCUCUGUUUCCUAAACUGACUAUGGUUGACCCUGCUGACAUGCUUGGCUUCAGCUCAGUUGUUGGGUCAGCGCCUUCUGCUGAUGGUGGUUACGAAGUGUGUUAAUACCUUGGUAGGAAUGGACAGAGACCCAUUCUGUUCAUUCUCCAUUCACAACCUGCUUAUCCCUCUUCAUCUUCGUAUAUCUCCCCAUCUGUUCUCCCUCCUCCUCCUCCUCCUCCUCCUCCUCCUCCUCCUCUCUCCAAGCACAUCAACAGAGGAUAAAUGGUUCAGCAGACAUCAUCAGACCCCUUCUCCCCACCUCUUACCUCUCUCCCUCUCCUCAUAUUUUCCAGACCCCUGCCGCAUUAAGCUGAGCUUAAGAGUCAGCUGAGCUGAUCAAAGACUGUGGUCAUGUAGUGGCUAACUAGAGGCGAGAGUUCCCAACGACACAGGACCUCCCAGGGGUUUCCACCACUAUAGACUUACUGUAACUAGAAUGGACAUGAAGGGACACAAGCUUAUUAUACACUCCACCCAUGUGACUGCAUGAGACUGGGUAGACAUACAGAAACCACUGUCCCCUUUUGUCUCAAAAACACAUUAUUCUUGCCAAGCUGGAUCUUAGGUCCACAAACAUUUUGCCAGCUUGCUCUGGUGACUUUAAGACUGCAGGGUGAGCCACCCUUCAUAACCCAGCAUUCCUCUAAUGUGAGAAACGAAGGACCAGGUCCUGUUCCCACCACUCUCCUCCCUCUCUCUCUCUCCCAUCUCCUCCUCCUCCUCGAUGUACCACUCUCUCGGUCACGUCAUUGAUGUGACGAGAAGAGUUGCAUGCCUGCAUGCCCUGGGCCCCUAUUGUUACUCUAAUUAGCCCUAGCAGGCUUCCCCCCCCUCUCCUCCUCCCUUUGUUCACCACUUUAUCUUUUGUCCUUCAUGACCUUUAGUUCUGAUUUACUCUACACGAAUUUUACAGUGUUAACUGUUGUUCUUCUGUGUGCGCUAGUCGGCACCAGCAGGGAUUUAAACUUUUUGGCUGAUGACUACUCCAAAAACAGCUGGUAUAUAAACUGUCAGUUCUGAUUUGUCUUCACUGUAAGAGAAACAAAUAGAUAUUCAAGGUUCAGUGUUCUUCAUUAGCAUCCAAAAGGGCAAACUUAUUGUGCAGACAGAUGUACAGUAUCCAAGAGACAAAAAACAACAAUGAUUCUCAAAUCAAGACACAGUCUCUAAAAUACAGGCUGACAUUAAAAUAACAAAACAAAUAUUGAGGAUCAAAACCAUAGACUUUAUAUCAAAUGGACGCCAUCUGCCUCCUCGCUGGGUAAAGCCACGCGAAAAACAGCACCCUCUGGUGACGGGCUGCAGUAUAGGUCAUAAAUCCUGCCUCCUCCAACAAUCCCUAUGGAGCUGUGGACAAACUUCAGAAUUUAUUAAACAGAAUAAAAAGUCCUCUUUUUUCUGUACAGCUCCACUUUGAAAAGUUAUUAGGGGUUCAUAUUUUCUAUUUUUGACACUUACUGCAGCCUAUGGGGAAACGAAGAUUGCGUAGCUCACCCGGGGGAUACGCUGCUUGAGCCGAGCGUCAAUGCGUACAAUGCUACUGCACAAGUGGUGGUUCCAGGAAGUGGAGAAAAUCCCAGAAAAACCGAGGGCAAUUUGGUUUUAAAUUCUUAUAACGACGGAAGGCAUAACCAAGUUGUCCAUAGUAUACACAGUCUAUGAUCAAAACCAAGUCAUGAUCAAGUGAUCUAGAUGACAACUGUUCUAAAUAAUAUUCUAAAAGUGCUAUAAUGCUUUUCAUGUCUCCCUAAAAAAGGCAGAGUUGGACAGCUUAGUCAUCCUUUGCGGUUUUAUGUGUAACAGACUGACUUUGCCUGAACUUACUCAGUGACUCACUAACUUUUCCCAUUUCUGUUUAACUUUGCUCUGUCAUGGUCCAGUCUCCUCUUUUUACCUUCGAUACAAACACAUAUUACCCAGCCUAUGCUUUGUCUUCGCCGUCUUCCGUCACUCCCUUCCUGCCCAUCGCUUCUUGGCACUUUAUUACUCACCUCUACUUGAUGCACACAGUUGCCGGAACCAAAUCUCUUGCACCUGGUUGUUCAGACUCUAUCCGGUGCCUGAAUUCCAAGAAGCACAAUGCUGACCCUCAACAAAAUCAGAGAGGUGAAGGGGAGAGAUGGAGGGGAAAAAAGAGGGGGAACAGAGAGGAAAGCAGGAACCCUUUUUUGCAGCCCCGGUUGUAGAGGAGAGGGCUUCUCUUGUUAGUACGCAUUUAUCUGGAGCCAGAAAAGGCUCUAUUGUAGUGCAAAGUUAACUCUGGGCUCAGGAAAAUGACUGUUUUUUAACAGGGUCCCCUGGUCUGGAGUGGGGCCCCUGAAUACUUAGUACAGCUUCCUCUGGUUGAACGGAUGAUAGAAUAGCUUUGGCAGUAAUACAAUGUCGGUCGUCAUGCGCCCAUUUGCUGGAUUUGUAACAUGUUUCGUUUCCGUCUACUUUCUUCUGGGGUCUUAUUUUUGUAGUUUUGCUGUAAUUUAAUGCAGGAAUAUCUCACAUUCUGCCAUAGAAAAGUCUAAAUGACUAUUAGACAUAUUCAAGCAACUACAACUACAACUACAACUGACAACUGUGUGCAUGUAUAAGCAAACUCAUGGAUGUUUGCAUGACCUAAUCAGCUUCAAGGCUCGCUUAUGCUCGCCAUACCUGUGAAAAUGUAUGCGUCUGUUUCAAACGAUGGUUCCGUCACUGCCCACAUACUUCCAUGCGUCCUUUACGUUGGCAUGGAUGUUAACCAGUACAUCCACCAGGGGGCAGGCCGGAGUCAGAAGUUUCUGACAACAACAAACAAAAAGAAACAUGGUGGCUGUGGAGGAGCUAGUGAUAAUGUAUAUUUUGCAUAGGAGACAGAAACAGAGGCAGCGUUGGAGGAGGCGGUGGUCGGUCAGGCCACUAAAUGCCUUGUGGUUGGAGGACGGAGAAUUCUUUUCGCUAGUAGUACCAGUGAGAGAAAUUGACGACAAUCCUCAAAAAGCCCCGCCAUUGUGUUUCGUGCGUGACUUGUAACCAUUGGUUCUUUCAGAGCUUCACACUAGCCUAACAUUGCCGGUGCGGUAGCAGAAGCAGGUGACAUAGGAGCUAUCUAGCUCUUGGACACUAAUGUCUUCAGGGACACGAUGAAAGCUAAUACCAUAAUUAGCUUUCUUGGGAGCAUUGCAAUCCGCUAACGCACACACUUGCUUCCCCAUCAUCCUCUCUGUUUCUCCGAGUAUGGCCUGCAUAGCGGGGCUCCAGGGUUGUAGCUUGGAUUUGUGACGCAUGAAAUCUCACUGUCUGAACCUGCUGUUGUUUCUGUCAGAGAUUCACAAUGAUUUGAAUGCAGAAAUACUCAGAAAUGCAAUUUUGCACUUUUUUUUUUCAAGCAAUGUCCUGUAGCGUCAGAAAAAUGCCAUACGAACAUGUAGACAACAAGAAAAACGGAGCGGGUCUUUAAAGGAGAAAACUUGAUAUCUGUCGCAUGAAUUGAAACACACUUGCUUACAGACACACCUGGGAGCAGACAGGUUAGAAAGUCAUCCUUGUGCCGCUGUAAGAAGUUAAACUGAUUUAGCGCUGAUCAAUACUGUUAGACUGAGGUACAGUUUGGCAAAGGUUUUCUGAGGUGACCUUCAGCCACAAGUUUGUGAUAAAUUCAUCUGAGUAACGGGGUCACUAUGUGUGUGUGUGUGUGUGUGUACUGUAUGAGAGCCCAACA
rnacentral:lncRNA from 1 species